UGGAAAAGGAGCAGAAGUAAUUCCCUGAACCUGGAGAAAGUAAUUCGUAUGUGUCUUCUCAUUUGGGGGAAGGGCAAGAAUGUCACUUUUAAGGAUAGAUAUGUCUUGAUAGUAGGAAUUUAACUACUAGGGAAGUUCAAAUACGUGGAGAACGGUGCAUAUGGAAGCUGAGUAGGGAAAAAGACGGACUCUGUUAUCUAGUUUUUGGCUUUUAGCUCCACAUUAUCCUUCACUACCUGUUCUGUGAUAACGGACUGGCCUCUUUAGCAUCUCUCCCUGACAGUGAGCAUGAUGGCAAGCUCUGUCCAGUAGAGGGCACUGGAGGGACACAGAAGGAAGGAAAGGGCUUUUCUUCCCAGCUCCGGUGAGCUCUGGUUUGCUGUUCUUUGCUUCUGCACCUUGAUCUGUUUGCAGUGCAAGUGCAUGGGGACGUCAGGUGGUGCUCUGCUCCAGCUGCACACCAAGAGCAGGCACUCCCUGGGCAGCCUCGAGUUACUGGUCCAGGCCCAGCGACCACUUUGCUGUGGGUCUGCCUGUCAAGGAUACUGCAUACUUCAGGCCUUGCACCUGUGGCAAUGCAACUUCCUAACUCUACACCUGCUGCCUCAGCCUUGUUUUCUUAUGCCUUGGACAGUUUUUUUCCCCCAAAUCCCUCCAGUCACGGACGCCAGUGUACCCACAGCAGUGCCCCAGCUCCCGCCCUCAGCUCAUCAACCUUGGCGUUCUCCCCAGAGGGUCGAUCUCCAUGAUCUUCCAUGCCCUGUGGGGACAUCACACAAUCCAGUCCUCAUGCACAGAGAGCUCCAACUCUUUUGGUGUACUUGCCCACUAGUCUUGGCUCACCUGUGUGGAGUUCCUGACAAGAGCUUUAUCAACCAGAAGCAACUCCAUCCUACUAAAAGUCUCUCAGUGCUUUUAAAGUGUUUACUUUCUUUCUCUGAACUUUGAAAGCUGACUGUCCCCAAGAAAUCAAUUUACAUCCCAUCUUAAAAACAUUCCUACUGCUAAGUGAAAAAACCCCAACUAUUUUAUGACAUAUUCCCCACAAUUACAACUGUGUGUAAAAUAUAUGUGCAUACUCUUGUCCCUUGGUAUCUGCUGCGGAUUGGUUCCAGGACUCCCGCAGGUACCAAACUCCAAGGAUGCUCAAGUCCCUUAUAAGAAAUGGCAAUGGCACAGCACUGCCUAGGCCUAUAGCCUGUGCACGUGCCCCCGUACACAGUGCAACCUCGAUCCUUGAACUCAAUGCAUUCCAGAAAACGGGUAGAGAAGUGAUUUGCUCACAAACAGAAUCUCCUCUGUCACCCGAGGGACAGGUGACUGCUCAUACAGGUGUCAGCACGAGAGGGCUGUUGAGGAGAGAACUGAGAACCAGAGUUUUGUUGGACCACUAAGGCCUUUCUCCCCAUGAACUGCUUGGUCCAGAACUGCUUGGUUCCAGAACCAAGGCUUUCAAGAACUGAGGUUUGACUGUACUUGGUAUCAUUUCUAGAUUACUUAGGUAUAAUACCUAAUGCAAUGCAAAUGCUAUGUAAACAGUUGAUAUACCGUAUCGUGAAGGGAAUAAUGACAAGGAAAAGAGUCUGUACGUGUUCGGUCCAGACAACCAUGUCAGCCUCACCACAUAGCACGCAUCAGCAACAGCGGGUCUUUUUUCCAAAUAUUUUCCAUCUGCAGGUUUUGAACCUGUGGAUGCGGAACCCAUGGAUAUGGAGGACUGACUGUAUUCGAGGACCUGGAAUGAAUGAGUGGGGUAGGAUUGUGGCAACUUUUUUGGUAAAAAAUGUUUCCGAAAUAUUACUUCUGUAAGAAGUAUGUAAGUCAAUGUGGAUUGUGGAGGAGAGGAGGGAGAAGAAACUCAGUGGUUGAGAUACAGCAGUGGGAAAAUGAACUGCAUAAAUCUUUUUACAGCUUGGAUCUUGUGCAACGCAGACCUGUUAACGGCUAAGAAAAAUAAGCACAUGUACACACACAAAUAUCUCAGAGACUCACAGGGCCACAAAGAGCCCCGAGCACUGCGAGGAGACGGGUAUUGGGCUGUCCUCACCAGCUGCGAAACCGCAGAGAACCAUCCAGCCCUGGUUUAUCUGGAGGCACAGAAAACGGCCUUCCAGGGAUAUCAGUGAGCAAAGGGGAUUAGAAUACUCCUGCAAGAGCCUUUAUGAAAAGACUCAAAAUUGGGCUAUUGAUUGUCUUUCUUUUUUUUUUUUUCUUCAACAGAUGAAGGGAUAGUAGGUAGAUGGUGGCUUUGUUAGGACUUUACAGAUCAUUUGUUCUGAUUAUAGGAUAUGGAUCUUAGACAUUUUAUUUGAACCUUUUCUUUUAAAGUAUCUGUUAAGAUCUUGGCAGCACAGCAGAUCAUUACCUAUGAUCCUCUUUCCCCAGAACUUUCAGCUUUCAAACCAGGGAUCAGCAUACUAUGGCCUGGGGAAAAUCUAGCCUGUUCUUGUACCUGAGCCGGAAUUAGCUUAGCUUUAUACCCUUCUGCUAAGAAUAGAAUGAUCUUUUUACAUCAUCGAGAAAAAUAAAAAUUAUUAUUAUUA